GCCCGGAUAGCUCAGUCGGUGUAGAGCAGGGGAUUGAAAUCCCUGUGUCCUUGGUCUGAUUCCGAGUCCGGGCA
rnacentral:tRNA from 1 species